UUGCUUCUUAUAUAUAUAUCGCUUCCUUAGUUUGUUUGAUUUAUUGAUUCAAAUUUCCGGAAAAGCUUUUUUUGGAUUUCGAUUUUUAUCAACACCUCUGUUGUUUGUGGUUAAUUACUUAAAGAUCGAAAUGAACGGUUAGUUAAGGCAACUAACAGAACUUUAAAUGGUAAAUAGUGAAUUAGUUAGUUAAUGGUUUGGUUUGAGUUGAUCAUUUCAUGCAAUUAUUUAACACUUGAAAUCAAAUGUUUGAACCUUGAGAUUGUAACUUGUCUUAUCAUUACACUCAACACUGUUGAGUGGAAUAUAAUGUUGAUUGCAUGGUAAGUAACUGUAAAAUCACUUUUCUCUUCUGCAAUUCAUAUGCUAGUUUCUGGAAUAUGAAUUUAUCUAUUUGCUUUUAGGUUUAUGUUAAGUCCAUGAAUUUAAUUUGAGAAAUAAUCAUAAAAGUUGCAAGUAUACACGUUUUAUCGUUGCUUGUGCUAAUUUUAAAAAUCUAAAUCGUCUUCGGAAAUCUAAGUUAUCAAAAAGCUUCCUUUAUUGGUUAUUUAAGCAUAUAGUUCUAUUUAUAUGAUGUUCUUGAUUGCACAUGCAAUAUUAAUGUCACGGGCAACGCAAUAAGGUCCGAGAUAUUGAUGCAUGAGUCUACUAAAGAAGUUGGAUUUGGGGAAUCGGGCUUGUCAAGACCACCAGACUUGGUCCAUCACUUGGAGAAUGCUAGAUAGCCCAUUCACAUUGGCCGUACAAACAUGGAAAGUGAAGAUGAACGUGGAAAGUGAAGAUAAUCAUGGGAGCUCGGUAAUUAUGGCAAGACAAUAAAUCAAUAGAGAUUGUGGAAGAUUCUUACUAUAUCCAGUGUGAACGCUUAUCGAAGGAAAGAUUCCUACUAAUUGACGUAAUUAGGUAGGAUGGGAUUGAGUUCCCUUAGAUAUGGUGGCUAAGUGUAGCCCCGUGGUGAUUACGCUUCCGCACGAGUAUUCUACUUUGGUGGCCUUAACAGUUCUAUUGGGUUAAAGCUUCCGCAUCCUUUUUGAAGUCUUGAAUGCAAGUCGUGCAGCUCGUAUCAAAGAGCCAUUCGGGUUUGAUAAGUUUCAACAUCCAAGUAGAAUUUGGUUUGUGUACCAAAUGAUGAACCCUCAGACAUGGUUUCAAGGCUUCAAAACAAGUGCAAUGAAAUCAAUUAAUGUCCAUGGAAGAUGUCUGCAUGUUGUAUGGCCUGAAUUCUUUCAAAUGUAACCGCUAAACUUCA